GAAUUUAGCAGAGAUGCUUUAGUGCCUUCGGGAACUCUGAGACAGGUGCUGCAUGGCUGUCGUCAGCUCGUGUUGUGAAAUGUUGGGUUAAGUCCCGNAACGAGCGCAACCCUUUAUCCUUUGUUGCCAGCACGUAAUGGUGGGAACUCAAAGGAGACUGCCGGUGAUAAACCGGAGGAAGGUGGGGAUGACGUCAAGUCAUCAUGGCCCUUACGAGUAGGGCUACACACGUGCUACAAUGGCGCAUACAAAGAGAAGCGACCUCGCGAGAGCAAGCGGACCUCAUAAAGUGCGUCGUAGUCCGGAUUGGAGUCUGCAACUCGACUCCAUGAAGUCGGAAUCGCUAGUAAUCGUAAAUCAGAAUGUUACGGUGAAUACGUUCCCGGGCCUUGUACACACCGCCCGUCACACCAUGGGAGUGGGUUGCAAAAGAAGUAGAUAGCUUAACCUUCGGGAGGGCGUUUACCACUUUGUGAUUCAUGACUGGGGUGAAGUCGUAACAAGGUAAGCGUAGUGCU
rnacentral:rRNA from 1 species